GAUUAGCAUGUGGUUAUGGAAGGUGUUUCGUAUUGAUCCAGUAUGUGGUGACAGUUCUCAGUUUGCGCCGUGGACCUGCUGGUUGAACUCUUUGAUCCUCUGGAGGGAAUCAUAUUUCUGUAGCACAACAUGCCUAAAAGGAAGUCUCCUGAAGGGGCCCAUGCCAAGGAUGCCUCCAAGGUCACCAAGCAGGAGCCCACCAGGCGAUCAGAGAGGUUGUCAUCGAAACCAGCUCCUCCCAAACCUGUUGAGGUCAAGCCUAAGAAGGCUAUAUCCAAGGACAUGAAGGAAAAGAAAGGUGGCGCUAAGGUGAAGGAGGAUGGCCCCUGCCAUAACGGACAGGCUAUGACUGAGGAGAUCUGUGUGUCUCGCUCCAGUGUCAGUGUGACCUACUACAGAAGUCUUGCUCCCUACUCCAUGUCUGUCAGAGGCCAGAGUGAGACAGUCAGAGUCAACGGUCUGUAAUGACUGACAAGAGGAACUGAUGAUGCACUAACCGAUUUAGAACCUUGUGCAUUCUACUAUUACAUCGUUCAAGAGAGACUGAGGCUGUGGAGGCGGAGUCGGUCAAGGAGAAGGAAUGAGGAAGUGGGGGGGUCUUUCUCUGACUCCUCCCAAACCAGUACCAUGGAAACGGAGGAUUAUUUUUUUUCCAGGAUUUUGUAAAAUGCUGAUUUUUUUUUUGGUUUGUCCUGUGAUACUAGCAAAGAUAACCAGCAGCAACCCACUUCCACACUCCUUACAAUUGUCUCUCCCUCUCCUCUCCUUUUCUUUCCUCCCUGGAAGACAGAAUGAAGUGACAUGUUUUUAUAAAAUGGCCGCAAGUAUUCUUCCUCUGGCAGUGGGAGGAGCCUCAUGGGGUCACCAUGGUGAUGCCUCUCAGUUCCUCUCUAAACAAUGUCAUGUCCUCUUGACCGCGAUGGCUCUUUUGUGAUGACAUCGCUGUAAAUUAAGUGGACCUGCCACCUCUGACAUCAGAGACCCAAGGGUCAGACUAGGCUCCUAUGAUAUAACAAGUGACCUUUGACCCUGACCUGAGGUGUUGCCAUGGUGAAUAUUUGCAGCUUUUUAAACAGAUUUAGAAGUGUUCAGAAUCGCCAGCCACUCCUGUGUUGUAAUUUAUGAGUCUGUGGUUGUCUGUCAGAGUAGACUGUUCUAGAACUCUGGCUUCCAGAACCUCUGGGUUCCACCCUGGUUGUCUGUCAGGGCAGACUGUUCUAGAACUCUGGCUUCCAGAACCUCUGGGUUCCACCCUGGUUGUCUGUCAGGGCAGACUGUUCUAGAACUCUGGCUUCCAGAACCUCUGGGUUCCACCCUGGUUGUCUGUCAGAGCAGACUGUUCUAGAACUCUGGCUUCCAGAACCUCUGGGUUCCACCCUGGUUGUCUGUCAGAGCAGACUGUUCUAGAACUCUGGCUUCCAGAACCUCUGGGUUCCACCCUGGUUGUCUGUCAGAGCAGCAUAGCAAUAACAAGUGGCGCUUCUGUUCUAGAACUCUGAGGCUUCUAGAACCUCACUGGGUUCCACCCUGCCUGUGCGAAAACAUUAUUUUGAAAUAAAACAGAGUUGACAUUU